rnacentral:rRNA from 1 species
GCGUGAGUGAAGAAGGCCUUCGGGUUGUAAAGCUCUUUCACCGGUGACGAUGAUGACGGUAACCGGAGAAGAAGCCCCGGCUAACUCCGUGCCAGCAGCCGCGGUAAUACGGAGGGGGCGAGCGUUGUUCGGAAUUACUGGGCGUAAAGGGCGCGUAGGCGGUCUGACAAGUUAGGGGUGAAAGGCCUGGGCUUAACCUGGGAACUGCCUUUAAGACUGUCGGGCUGGAGUUCGGAAGAGGAUAGCGGAAUUCCUAGUGUAGAGGUGAAAUUCGU